GACGAACGCUGGCGGCGUGCUUAACACAUGCAAGUCGAGCGGUAAGGCCCUUUCGGGGGUACGACGAGCGGCGAACGGGUGAGUAACACGUGGGUGACCUGCCCUCAGCUCUGGGAUAAGCCUGGGAAACCGGGUCUAAUACUGGAUAUGACUCCAUGACGCAUGUUGGUGGGGUGGAAAGCCUUGUGCGGCUGAGGAUGGGCCCGCGGCCUAUCAGCUUGUUGGUGGGGUGANGGCCUACCAAGGCGACGACGGGUAGCCGGCCUGAGAGGGCGACCGGCCACAC
rnacentral:rRNA from 1 species